CUGACUGGGCAACAUGUUAUUCAGAUGGGGUCUUCUUAUGUUGACCAGGCUGGUCUCAAAUUCCUAGGCUCAAGUGAUUCUGCCCACCUCUGCCUCCCAAAGUGCUGGGAUUAUGGGCAUGAGCCAGCGCAUCUGGCCACCGUAUUUUCUAUUACUGGCUCAAUGUAAUGGCUCCAUCUCAGGAACAGCCAAUGAAAGAGAUGCACAGGACAAGAAACAGGACCUUGCCCUGUCACUCAGGAUGGAGUUCAGUGGUCCUAUCAUGGUUCAUUAUAGCCUCAAACUCCCAGGCUCAAGCAAUCCUACCAUGUCAGCCUUCCCAGUAGCUGGGACUACAGGUAAGCAUCGUGACACUCAGUGAAUUUUGUUUUUAUUUUGUUGUAGAGAUGGGACCUCAGUAUGUUGCCACGGCUGACCUUGAACUCCUGCACUCAAGGGAUUUUCCUGCCCUGGCCUCCCGAAGUAUUGGUAUUACAGGCAUGAGCCAUUGUGCCCACCGUCUCUGGUUCUUAACCUUCUGCCUCCCUCUUCCAGUUUUAAAGAAUGCUUGUAAUUACACGGGCUCUCCUAGAUACUCCAGGAUAGUCUUGUUUUAAGGUCAGCUGAUGAGCAACAUUAAUUUUAUCUGCACUCUUAAUUCCCC
rnacentral:lncRNA from 10 species